rnacentral:rRNA from 1 species
GCUUGCUCCCGGAUGUUAGCGGCGGACGGGUGAGUAACACGUGGGUAACCUGCCUGUAAGACUGGGAUAACUCCGGGAAACCGGAGCUAAUACCGGAUAGUUCCUUGAACCGCAUGGUUCAAGGAUGAAAGACGGUUUCGGCUGUCACUUACAGAUGGACCCGCGGCGCAUUAGCUAGUUGGUGGGGUAAUGGCUCACCAAGGCGACGAUGCGUAGCCGACCUGAGAGGGUGAUCGGCCACACUGGGACUGAGACACGGCCCAGACUCCUACGGGAGGCAGCAGUAGGGAAUCUUCCGCAAUGGACGAAAGUCUGACGGAGCAACGCCGCGUGAGUGAUGAAGGUUUUCGGAUCGUAAAGCUCUGUUGUUAGGGAAGAACAAGUGCGAGAGUAACUGCUCGCACCUUGACGGUACCUAACCAGAAAGCCACGGCUAACUACGUGCCAGCAGC